rnacentral:rRNA from 1 species
GAGCGCAACCCUUGUCUUUAUUGCCAUCAUUCAGUUGGGCACUUUAAGAGACUGCCGGUGUUAAGCCGGAGGAAGUGGGGAUGACGUCAAGUCCUCAUGGCCUUUAUGCCCAGGGCUACGACACGUGCUACAAUGGGCGGUACAAAGAGAAGCAACCUCGCGAGGGUGAGCAAAUCUCAAAAAGCCGUUCUCAGUUCGGAUUGAAGUCUGCAACUCGACUUCAUGAAGUCGGAAUCGCUAGUAAUCGCGGAUCAGCAUGCCGCGGUGAAUACGUUCCCGGGCCUU